AGAGUUUGAUCCUGGCUCAGGACGAACGCUGGCGGCGCGCCUAACACAUGCAAGUCGAACGGAGCUAAGAGGAGCUUGCUUUUCUUAGCUUAGUGGCGAACGGGUGAGUAACGCGUGAGUAACCUGCCCUGGAGUGGGGGACAACAGUUGGAAACGACUGCUAAUACCGCAUAAGCCCACGGAUCCGCAUGGAUCUGCGGGAAAAGGAUUUAUUCGCUUCAGGAUGGACUCGCGUCCAAUUAGCUAGUUGGUGAGGUAACGGCCCACCAAGGCGACGAUUGGUAGCCGGACUGAGAGGUUGAACGGCCACAUUGGGACUGAGACACGGCCCAGACUCCUACGGGAGGCAGCAGUGGGGGAUAUUGCACAAUGGGGGAAACCCUGAUGCAGCGACGCCGCGUGGAGGAAGAAGGUCUUCGGAUUGUAAACUCCUGUUGUUGAGGAAGAUAAUGACGGUACUCAACAAGGAAGUGACGGCUAACUACGUGCCAGCAGCCGCGGUAAAACGUAGGUCACAAGCGUUGUCCGGAAUUACUGGGUGUAAAGGGAGCGCAGGCGGGAAGACAAGUUGGAAGUGAAAACCAUGGGCUCAACCCAUGAAUUGCUUUCAAAACUGUUUUUCUUGAGUAGUGCAGAGGUAGGUGGAAUUCCCGGUGUAGCGGUGGAAUGCGUAGAUAUCGGGAGGAACACCAGUGGCGAAGGCGGCCUACUGGGCACCAACUGACGCUGAGGCUCGAAAGUGUGGGUAGCAAACAGGAUUAGAUACCCUGGUAGUCCACACCGUAAACGAUGAUUACUAGGU
rnacentral:rRNA from 1 species